rnacentral:rRNA from 1 species
UACGAAGGGGGCUAGCGUUGCUCGGAAUCACUGGGCGUAAAGGGUGCGUAGGCGGGUCUUUAAGUCAGGGGUGAAAUCCUGGAGCUCAACUCCAGAACUGCCUUUGAUACUGGCGAGCUUGAGUCCGGGAGAGGUGAGUGGAACUGCGAGUGUAGAGGUGAAAUUCGUAGAUAUUCGCAAGAACACCCAGUGGCGAAGGCGGACUCACUGGCCCGGUACUGACGCUGAGGUGCGAAAGCGUGGGAGCAACAGG